UGGGGAAUUUUGGACAAUGGGCGCAAGCCUGAUCCAGCAAUGCCGCGUGCAGGAUGAAGGCCUUCGGGUUGUAAACUGCUUUUGUACGGAACGAAACGGUCUGGGUUAAUACCUCGGGCUAAUGACGGUACCGUAAGAAUAAGCACCGGCUAACUACGUGCCAGCAGCCGCGGUAAUACGUAGGGUGCAAGCGUUAAUCGGAAUUACUGGGCGUAAAGCGUGCGCAGGCGGUUUUGUAAGACAGGUGUGAAAUCCCCGGGCUUAACCUGGGAACUGCACUUGAGACUGCAAGGCUAGAGUACGGCAGAGGGGGAUGGAAUUCCGCGUGUAGCAGUGAAAUGCGUAGAUAUGCGGAGGAACACCGAUGGCGAAGGCAAUCCCCUGGGCCUGUACUGACGCUCAUGCACGAAAGCGUGGGGAGCAAACAGGAUUAGAUACCCUGGUAGUCCACGCCCUAAACGAUGUCAACUGGUUGUUGGGUCUUCACUGACUCAGUAACGAAGCUAACGCGUGAAGUUGACCGCCUGGGGAGUACGGCCGCAAGGUUG
rnacentral:rRNA from 1 species